rnacentral:rRNA from 1 species
UACGUAGGGUGCAAGCGUUGUCCGGAAUUAUUGGGCGUAAAGAGCUCGUAGGCGGUUUGUUGCGUCGGCUGUGAAAUCCCGAGGCUCAACCUCGGGUCUGCAGUCGGUACGAGCAGACUAGAGUGUUGCAGGGGAGACUGGAAUUCCUGGUGUAGCGGUGAAAUGCGCAGAUAUCAGGAGGAACACCGGUGGCGAAGGCGGGUCUCUGGGCAACAACUGACGCUGAGGAGCGAAAGCGUGGGGAGCGAACAGG